rnacentral:tRNA from 1 species
GAAGGCAUGGCUAAAAUGAAAAAGCACCUGCUUAGCAAGCAUGAUGUCCUGAAUUCAAACUCCAGUACUAUUU